rnacentral:rRNA from 1 species
UACGGAGGGGGCUAGCGUUGUUCGGAAUUACUGGGCGUAAAGCGCACGUAGGCGGAUUGGAAAGUCAGAGGUGAAAUCCCAGGGCUCAACCUUGGAACUGCCUUUGAAACUCCCAGUCUUGAGUUCGAGAGAGGUGAGUGGAAUUCCGAGUGUAGAGGUGAAAUUCGUAGAUAUUGGGUGGAACACCGGUGGCGAAAGCGGCCCCUGGCCCGGUCCUGACGCUGAGGCGCGAAAGCGUGGGGAGCAAACAGG